GUGCCAGCCGCCGCGGUAAUACCGGCAGCCCGAGUGAUGGCCGAUAUUAUUGGGCCUAAAGCGUCCGUAGCUGGCCGGACAAGUCCGUUGGGAAAUCUGUCCGCUUAACGGGCAGGCGUCCAGCGGAAACUGUUCGGCUUGGGACCGGAAGACCUGAGGGGUACGUCCGGGGUAGGAGUGAAAUCCUGUAAUCCUGGACGGACCACCGGUGGCGAAAGCGCCUCAGGAGGACGGAUCCGACAGUGAGGGACGAAAGCUAGGAUCUCGAACCGGAUUAGAUACCCCUGUAGUCC
rnacentral:rRNA from 1 species